rfam:Asian citrus Psyllid, Diaphorina citri - Florida Strain, whole genome shotgun sequence.
UAGCUUAGCUGGUAGUGCGUCUGCCUUGUAAGCGCUAGGCCGCGGGUUCGAUUCCCGC